AAUCACUGCUUAGAAACAUGUUGGAAACCUUUUUGAACAAUUUGAAAAAAAAAAAAAAAAUUAAAUGAAAAGUUCUUGAAAAUCUCACUGACAUUUUUUUUUAAAUUAUUUUAAAGAAGAAAAAAAAAAGAAAAGAAAAAGUCGAAAAGCUCGGCUUGGAGCCCUCCCCUCCCCCUGUCUUACUAUCGCAGCCCCGGGAGCUUUGAGUCCACCAGCCGCCACCAUGCUGAGCUGAGACACAGACACCAGCCGGACUUUAUCAAAGCGACUUUCCCCUGUUUUGCACCUGGACUUCUUCCUCGGACCUAGAGAAAGCUGUCAAAGCCACAACUUGUGUUGUGACAUCUGUUCUGGCCUUCUUUCUCAUCCAUUUCCAGCUGUUGUGAAGAAGAGUGAACGGUUUUCAUGAAUCAGUAUCUGCUUGUAGACGCCAUGACGGACAACGUGAGGAUUUUAUAAUUCUCUCCGGAGGAACAGCAUCACAUCUUUUAAGGAGCCACAGGUCAGAAACUCUACUCCUCUCCCCCUUACCCCCCGUGUUGAAGCACCGGCCCGCAUGCUUCAACACGAAUGCUGCAUGCUUCUGCAAACCCCGU
rnacentral:lncRNA from 1 species